GCAGCGCCCACUGCGUGCAGGGGGCGUGGUCCUCGGGGUCCCGGAAGGUAGGGAAUUGUGGACAGGGGUCACUCUGCCAAACUAGGAUUUCUCACUACUCCUCUCUACCCAGCCGCCCUCCAAUGACCCGGCCGCUUUGGGCGCAGGAAGCCGAUGCAGUUCCUCCGCGUUUUUCCCUGGAACCCAACUCGGAGGCAGCUGGCACGAGGGCGAACCAUAAGUGCGGGUAGAACGAAUGAAUGAACACUACACGGAAUAUUUAAACAAGAAAGAAAGAAAGUGCAUCCCCAGGAAUCGCUGCCUGACUUGUACAACCCUGUAGCCCCGGGAGGAGAGCAUCUCUCCGCUGGGGGAUGAAACUGCUUCGGACCUGGCCGGGGUGGAAGUUUGCCUUCCCCAUCCUAUUUGUCCUUUCGCUAUCUGAGAGUUCUGAGAUUCGGUCCACCGCCUGCCCGUGUCCUGCCCGGACAAGCCCCACGUGGGCUGGCUUCUAGCUGGUCCUCCGAGUCUCACCCCGGAGGGGUCAAGCAGGCCGUGCCCCACGGGCUGGCGGGCCCGGGCGCGCUCCCUGCUUCUGGGGCGCGGCUGGAAGUCCUCGCCCUCCCACCAGGCCCGCCGGCCGGGUCAAGCGGGUCACCCCCUGCUGCCGGCCGGCGCCGGCGCCUCCCGGCCGGUCCCACCUCCUCGCGCAGCUCACAGGCCGGAGCCAGGCGGUCCGGGCCGGCCGGGGCUCACCUGGGCGGCGCUCGCAGCCGAGCUCAGACAGCUCGGCCGGGCAGCGGGACGCAGGGGACUCCGCGCCGCUGCAGCUGCCGCCGCCGCCGCCGCCGCCGCCACCACCACGGCUGCAUCCCGGGGCGAGCGCUGCCGCCGCUCCUCCCCUCCCCCUCUCCCCGCCCCCGGC
rnacentral:lncRNA from 1 species